GACUUCAUAACUGCAGUAUUCUUGUAAUGUAAUUUUAAACUCAUCCCGACUAUGUUUUUAAUACACACAUUGAAAGAAAAUAAAAAAUCUUCUGCAAUAAUAUCAUUCACUCCCUCUAAGUAAUGAGCAGAGGCGUGACUUUCAGCUUUACAGCACAGACCCACAACCAUCUAUUGCCUGCAUGGAGAAAGUGGGAGUAAUGGAAAGGCAUCUUUUCUAGAUGUGCAUGUCACUAGAAUGGGCAGAGACGUUUCUUGUCAGGUGUUAAGAGAUAUGCUGGCAGCAGAGGGAUAAGUGUUGAGAGGUGGGAAUAAUAGGUUCAUUUCCAAGCUCCACAGUGGAUAAAUCUAGAUGCCCUGCUGCCAUAUUUUAUAUAAUAUUGUUACAGUGUAUGACUGCUUCCCCUCUCCCUUUCCUGCAGCACUGUCUUCCAGCUCCUGCCUGUGUUCAUUUGGAGGUUUUCUGUAGCUCACUCCUUCCCCUGCUCCCCUCAGCUCCUCCCUUCCCGGUGCUUGCCCAUCCCUUCAGGCCUGCAUCUCUCUUCCCUCUCCCCUGGUGGGGAUGGAUGUAAUCCCCUGAGGAAUGUGGCCCACAGGCCUCUGCAGGACUGGGGCGUGACUCUGGAGAGCCUCUGAUGGUGAAUACAAAGCAGGAAGAAGGAAUCUCUGUCACCUUGCAGCACAGGGAGGGAAGAGCUGGAUGUCUGUGGGGUGGUCAGUGUGCCUGGCUGUCAAGCCAGCUUGUCAGACGAAAAAUAGACGAUAGACUUUUCAGCUGCAUGUGCCGUUUCCUUAUUCAUUGUGGCUGGGUGGUGUAUUCUCUGCCUGUGGUUUGAAUAAAUGUCUUGGAUAGCUACCUUCUGCUUCAGUCCCCUUGGGAUAGCUCUUUCCAACUCAGCUGCAUCAGUGUGCUGAAGAUGUUAAUUCCAAGCAUGUGGACCAGAGGGAAGAAGAGAGAGAACUUCAUGCAAAGCAUGCAUCUAAGAAAGCUUUAACUUCAGUCAUAUCUGUAAAAGCUGCUGUAUGUAAAACAAGCUUCACCUGAAGUGCAAGUUGCACAAAGCUCUCUCACUUAAUCACAUUAACUUUUCUUGUCUUUCCUCUUUGUGUUUAUAUGUCCACAGAACAGUCAGAAGUGUUUGCAAAGAGAAUCCCAAGCUACUGCUAGGAUCCAAACUUGGGAUGGUUUUUAAUAAGGCUUUGCAUUUGAGAUGUUGCUGUGUUUUAGAGAGUAUCCUGGAAAAGUCAACAGAGAUGUAAUGGAAAAAAAGAAAUAUAAAGAUCACAAUUCUGUCUGGGGAAACUGAGUUUUGUCUUAUGUAGUAAGCACCCAUCUUAACCCUGCUAGAGCAGAACAAACCCCCUUCUCCAGCAGAAACCAGAGUUUGUUGUUAAUUAACGUCUUGCUGGAAACUAAGUCUUUGCCAUCUGUUCCACCACCUCACUACGAAUGCCGCUCUCGUGUUGAUUAUGUAAGUCAAAAUGAAAAUAUAUUUUGAUAGAGUGCUGCACGGCACUGUGCUGAUUCUUCUCCUGUUCCUAUUUACCAUUCCCUGCCCCCAUCCCACAAGGAAAGGAAAAGGUGACAAUUGUUUGACUUCUUGGCAGCUUUAUCCUGGAGCUGCCAUUAUGGCUGCCAAGCCCUGUGUGUUGUGGGAGCAGCCACCUCAUCCCUGCUGCAUUUGAGCUGGGAGACCUUUGCAAACCCUGGUUAUUAGACUCAUGAAAAAUCCGCAUCAGGAAGAUGCCCCUUAAACUGAAGCUGCUCUAAAUUCUUGUGAGGGGUUAACUUGAAAUCCAGAAGAAGAAAAUUGAAAAGAAAGAGGCUAGGUUACUCCAUAAGUGAUAGCAUGACCUCUGAGAGCAGCCGGCUGCUCCUGUUACAAGCGUGGCCUCUGUCUGUCUAAGGGUGGAGGAAGAGAGAAAGAGGAGGGGUAGUUUUCCUGUAAGUGGGUUAGAGCAAUUACUGAGGUCUCUUACAGCAAAUGAAGUUGUCAGUGUGAGUCACAUUCCCUUUUUUCUCUCACUGCCAAGUUUUAGGCAGUAACCAGACAGAAGGAAGAAAAGAAAAAAAAAGGACAAAGCAACAACAGGGAAAAGUUGAACUGAAACAACCCUUCAUUCGGGGUACUGUUUUCGUGCUGAUUGUACGUAGAGAUAAAGGAUCUAUAAAUAUCCCGUCUGCUGAAAUUCCUUAUCACAACAUCGCCUGUCAGCUGAACAAAUAGGUUAGGUUCUCCAAAUAAUACAUAAUUACAUAUGUAAAUAUAAAAUUACUGAUUAAAUCCCUGCGCCACAUGCAAUGGAGCUUCAUCCCCGGGGGAGGACAUUAACCUCUUGUGGUGUUCUGAGAGGUGCCACAGCCCCAGCACAGCAAGUGGCACAUGCAGCUGGUACUGGUGAAGUGGCAGAAGCUCAGAGACAGGGCUUGAAUAAGCAAGGAGAUAUUUAUCUGCCCGACUAGAUGAGAUGAAAGCAUCUUCUGACACUUUUUAAAAGUAUUGGAGCAUUUAGUUCUGUUUAGCAAACGGCUGGAAGCUUUUCUACUCUGCUUCAGAGCUUUUAAUGAAGCAUUGUGAUUCCCAUUGUGGUCAAUUGUUUGACACUUUUAUUAUUACUGGUAUGCAGAGCGUUUUUUAAUAUUUGAUGGCUGGAGAAAGAAGUAUUUUGUGCAUUCAAAGUUCUAGCACAAAGCUGCUGUUUUCCAUUCUGCCUUUGUCUUUUAUUCUGGCUGAUGCAAAUAAACGAAAGACAGAACUGAUUAAAUUACAUUUGUUUACUUCUUCCUUGAUGAUAAUAAGACACAGCCUGCCUCCUCUAAAAGACAGAAAUAGAGGAUGUGACUGUUUCUACAGUAUUUCUAAAAGACUUUUUUUUCCCUUACGAUAUAAAGGCAUUUAUUUGUUUCUAUUGUCUCGAUUUACCAGAUAAUGUGCACUUCCUAAUGUGUGUGGAACAAGAAUAGAGCAAUGAAUGACAGUUAGCAAUGGAUUCUGUUUGGAAAGCUUCUAUCUUGUUAUUUUUAUUAAUUCAACAGUAUAAAUGAUCAGACCACAUCACAAAACAAACACAGCAAGAUACUUCUGUCCUCCACAGCAGGAUGGCUUCUGAUCAUUGCACAAAGCAGAGUCCUCCAUUGCAGGGCUGGGUUUGUACACCCACAGUCCUUCCUGGGUCCUGCCUUCAGGGCCCUGGUGCUACUGGAGUGCUGAGGGGCAGAAAUAGGAUCCUCUGGAUUGUUUUGAACAGAGAAAAGUGCAGCAAAGGAUGGCAAAGGCAAGAGAAGUGUCUGAAGGCUUCUCAGCAGUGCAGUCAAACCUCCAUGUUUUACAGCUGAAACUCGUCUUAUGGACUGCUAUCACCUGGCAGCUGAGCCAAAUCCAAAAGACUGCUGGUAUCAAAAUGAUGCUUCUGCUUCCAGCCCUGCUGCUUUCAUUGUACAGGUCUGGUGCUUGUCUGCCUCUUUAAUGAGCUCAUGCAGCUCAGUAAACUGCAAGAAAAUAAAUUCAGUAAAAAAUAUACCAGCCCAGGAAAUGAGAAGAAUUGGACGCUGUGAGAAUGGAGACUGGAACUGCAAUGAGUGAGAGAAGUGGGGCUUCCCUCCAAAGGGCACAGGAUGAACACGGCCUGACCCAGGGAGGGUGACUGGAUGGGUGAAGGAAGGUCACCCAGCAGCACCAACCCACACAGCAGAGAAAGGACUGAAUGGAACUGCAGGAGACCAGGAAGAUGUUGGCAUGGGUAAGAGCCCUGGAAGACGAACCAAGGAGGAAAGAGGACAUGUGCAGAGUCACCACAGAAGGUUGCUGCAACAAGCACUGGAAAAAUUCUUGAAUACAAGAUGAUGGUCUCAUCCUAGCUCUUAAAGGAUUUAUUCUUAUGUAUCCAUGUGGCUGUCCCUGAAGGUGGGAUCUUGCUUAUGUCCCUUAUUUAGACACACAUUUCUCUAAAUUGGGAUUUGAUAAAAGGACAGCUGCUGCAUUUUAUUAUCUGUGAUAAGCAGCAGUAAAAGCUGUUCAGAGUUCAUGAUGGAAAUGUAUCCAUAUGUUGGCAUUUAUCCAACUGCACUUCACAAAGGUGAGUGGGACAGGAGAGUGGUGCACAGCCCCCUUUUAAUCCAUUUUUUCUAGACAGGGGUACUUUGCCUCUCUGCAGGAAAGGCCAGCACAGCUCCUGUGCUAAUAAACACUCAUUUCUCACUGCAGCAUAUGCGCUUCCCAGACUCAUAAAUCCAAGCAACUUGUAGUUGAAUAACAAUUAAAUAUCCACGUGAAUUUCCAUACCACGGUCUGGUGCACAAGGCAUAGGCUAAGUGGCUGCACAUCUGUUGUCUGCUCCCCCACACGUACUGUUGGCAGAGAAUAAUCACUUAAUCUUACCCUGCUGCCGUUAAUGGUACAUGUAAAAUUGGAUGCAGAGCAUCAUCCUGCAGAUAUUUUGCCAUAUCCUUCAAAAAGAACGGUGUUCUUUUUCUUUUUUUUUAAAGCAGUAGGAUUUCCAGGCCAGGGAUUCAGUUUGGCUGUUAACAUAAGUGGGAAAUGAGACAUCGUACUGAAAAGUUAAUUGAGAUGCAGGAUGCUGUUGGAUCUCAGAACAAUUUUGUGUCACUUUUACAAAACCCAGAGACUCAGUAAUGCAGUUAAGAUAAAUGUAGUGCCUGAUUACAAUAGAUGUGUUGCACUUACAAAAGGCAUCUCUUAUCAUGAGGCUCUUCAUAUCUGCAACAAUAACCACCAUAUGUCAGGUAAGACAAAGAUAAUGUGAGCCAGAUAAUUUUCCGAUUUUUAAAACUUUAAAAAUCCAAAAAGCUACAAAUGUCUUAAUUAUUAAUUCAGUUUUGCUAGAUGUGGUGCUGGUAGCUGGAGGGAACUUUUUUCUGAGGUUCAAUCUUUCCCCUGGUCUAACUGGUAACAGUCUGUGUGGCAGAGUUUUAAAUGUUAUAGCGAUUUAAAGGAGUAAGAAUUGUACGCAGUCACUCCCCAUCUUGAAUUUCCGUGCAGCAGGAUUUUAUCACAUGAAACUGCAGUUCAGAUGUUCCCAUCUUGAACAGAUAGGCCUUGUAGUUUGCUCUGAACUUGACAAGCCUUCCUCAGUGGUGAGGCUGUAAGAGGCACAAGCCUGUCUUGUGCCUCACUGUACAGUAUUGUUGUUGUACAGGUACCUAUCAAAAUGUUUAUUCCCUGUAGAAUUGACAGAAACCUUGAAUUCCCUCCCCAACACCCCCCCCCUCCCGUCAGCUGCAGACCAAGUCCCAGCCAUGAUCACAAAGAACAUCCUGAAUCAGUCACAAUAAUUUGCAUUUCCUUGCCAAAGAUUUUAUCUGCUGGGUGUGCAAAUUGCAACAUCAAGGUUGCUGGUGUUGAAAAAUCUGCAGCCUUCUGCUCCCCAGCUCUACCUUUUCCAGCAAGGUUAAUUUAUCCAGAAAAAUUAAUUGAAGCAACAAAGCUGUCAAAUGAGAAAGGCUACACAGGGAGACAGCACCACUGUGAACAUCUGCACGAUCUGUGUGUUUGAUUGGGUACCUCAGCACUGGCAGAUUAUUGUUGUUAGAAGCAAAUCUUACUCUUGUCAUUUUCAUACAAGACUCUGUGCUGCAAUUCUGCAGAUGUUCGUUCUCUGUGUCCCCACACUGUUUAAAAAAAUGACAAAUGAUGAUAGUAAAAAUUACAUUUGCUCAUUCAAACAUCUUGCUGUUUACAUAUAAGAAGAAUUAUGUGCUGGGGUGCAAUGACCUAAUGAGAGAUGCAACAUGGCCUUCAGGAGGAGGUGGAUAAAGCCCUCAGAAUCUGCUUCUCUCACACAGAUAGUCCUCUGAUAUAUAUAAUGAAAACCUUCUUUUGUUUAUAAUGACAGAUGCCACGGAGGUUGUAUAUUUGGAAAUUAUUUUUUCUCUAGGAGUGUUUAUUAACAGAUGUUUGAAAGUUUUAUGAUGUGGUGAAAACUGUAUCUCUCGUGAUAAACAGGAAGUGCUCAGAGAUAUUGCAUUACCCUGUAAUGCAACACAGAUUCCAACAGCUUGGCUCUUUUUUUCAAAAUAUGUUGACACCACUUCCUUCAGGAAAUCACUCUUCUCUGUACUGCUUUUAUCUGCUAUAGAUAUGCAAAAUUGCAAAAGAAAAUUUUGUUUUAAAGAAUGAUGAUUCAUCAAUUUUGGACUGUAGAAAUGGAUGUCUGUAAUAUUUAAAAUAUCUAUUAAAAAUAAGCAGCACAGACUCUAUGGGCUGUCAGGUCAGUGGAUUGAACCAAGUGCAAGGAAAAUAGACUGAUACCUCCCACAGCACAGGUGCACCUUAGAAAGCAAAGAUGCAGAUUUCCCUGCAGGUACCCUGAAGUGUGUCCCAGCCAUAAAUCUGGAGAUGCCUCUUAUGCAGUUCCAUGUCAGCAAGGCCAGGACCUGCCCAGCAGAGGAGAAGAAGGAAUCCUGUUUCCAUGUGAUCUGCCAGGAAAACUCAGUUUAUUUUGCAUAUGGAACCUUAUAUUCAGAAUCGCUGUGCUACAGCCUCCAACCUGCUCCUAAAGGCUGCCACCCAGUUGUUGGGAUGUUUUAUCAAUGCUGGCUGAAUUUUAAACCCUGGUGACUUUUAGGUGAAAAUGUCAGAAUGCCAUUACUGUACUGUCCCUUAUCACUUGUUUCUGUUCAGUCACUGCCCAUUGUUUAUACUAAAUCUAAUAAGAGCAGACAGGUAGGACAUACCUGUGCCAUCACAGUCAUUAGUCAACAUUACAGUGUACUUGUGAUGGAUAUCACCCCAGCAGACAAUGAUGUCAGGGAAAGCAAGUCCUGGUGAGCUCUUUUUGGAAGGCCUGGCAUCAUUCUCCAAACCAGUUCUCCAUAAAGGGACUUGUGUGUCUGCCAAGGGCUUCACAUACACAAAGCUGGAUGCAGUGGGGUCUGGAUGUCACCCCUCCGGCUGUGACCCUUCUACUCCCAUUGCUCAGUCCCACUACCUGUUGAUUUUAAUUUACAUUCUUCCCUCCUCGUUGUCUUUUACUCUUUCUUGAAUCACCAUUUCUCCCCUGUCCUAACAUCAGCCAACCUCUUCAUCACAAAUGCUCCCUAAAUUUUUUAGCUAUGAACAAGAAGUAUUAAAAAUGGAGCUACUGCAAUAUCUGGACAAUGUAAAGCCCUAAUAAUCCUGUUUCUACAUGCUUUGACUUCUGCCUCUGCUGGAGGCAUCACUUGUCCUGCCUUACAGCUGAACAGAGAACAAGUGGGAGAACAGGCUGCAUGUUUUAGUAUUUGUCAAUUAUUAUACUUCUGUGGCUUUGUAAUAAUUUUAUCUCUUUUUUAAAUUAUUUUUUAUUUUCCUAGCAAUCAAUUAUACUAGAAAUACGGAGAUCAAGAGACUGAUAUAAUACACUAGCUAAAUCUUUUUGUAAGAACUUAAUAGUCUUUCAGUGCAUAAAGCUUCAGCACAAGAAAACAAAGGUCAUGUACCAGGACCUCAGUGACGGCUCACAAGUCACUGCAACAUUCUGUAUAAAUACUGACUACAUGUAUGUUUUGUUUUGUCAGUCCUGUAAAAUAACUCUUUAUCUGGUGAUUCAGUUCUCUUAUCGUUCCCAGCUUGUUUACUGAAUUUUAAGUCUUGGGCAAGAUGAAGCAAGCUCAUGAGGAGUAGCUGGUUUUCAAAAGAUACAAGCUCCAGAUAAGCAAGGACAAGUAAAGCACACACAACAACAUUGAAAUCACCCAGAGUUUUGUUGCAGCUGACUGAGACAGAGUGUGCUUUGAGGCUGGGAAAUUUCCAUUACUGAACUGCAGGACAGUGCCUGGAUGCUGCUGCUACUGCAGAUGAAAAAUAAAAGCAACUUAAUUUUACACAGACAGCAACAAAAUGUCAGUAUGUUAAUUAAAAUUGUUAGAAUUAUAUAAUAAGCUUUUAAGGUUGCUGUAAA